CAACUAUUCAUCUUCACCCUAGUGGAACAGCUGUUGCCAGGUGAGAAUGUUCUCCCAAGAACGUCUGAUAGCUUUCAGUAGAUUUGCCAUUGAGCUGUAUUCUCAUGCAAGAAUCCAGAUGGCUUAUGUAACCAUAAUAUUUAUACAUUUGUGCAUUGAAUUUAAAAAUGACUUCAAAUAAAAGAUUACAUGUAUUGUAGCCUCGGCGUGCAUUAUUUUGUAAUGCUAUCAUAUAAGUGAAUGCCUCUUUUCAGUACCACUCUUGGCCCACCCUUGCUCUAUGUACCCUUACAUCUCGAAGUUCUCCUUGGUUGACAAAUGCAUCUGACCAAAGAGGGCUAAUAAAUAUGGCUUCCAUGAGAAAAGUUUAUUAACAUUUAUUUAUUCUUUGGAAAAUAAUGCACAAGUCUAUAUAACAUGUAAACUUUAAUUUGAGAUAUUAAUGAAAAAAAUAACAGGUUUUCCUAAAAAAUGAUUUAUAAAUGCAAAACACCUUUAACUGGAUUUACUUAGUGAGGGUGGCGCCUACAAUGCUCAUUGAUAUUCUGAGUGACAUGAAAUAACUAUAAAAAUAUACAAUAUUAUUUGCCUUUCUACUAUGCUUGAACAUAGAACCAUGCUGUAUAUGUCACUUGUUGAAGUAAUCUGAACUAACCAAUAAGUAAAAGCAAACAACAGUCCAUUAGGGAUCAUACAUAAAACAAAUAUUACACAAUUGUCUAACUGCAGAAAAUAUUUUGUUAACAUUAUUAAGUACUUAAAUGUUUCCCUUUUGUGUUCAUCAAUUAGUGAAUUAUAUACAUCUCAGAUAGGGAUUGGCUACAAGUCCAUACGAUGCCGAGUUUAAAGCACAACUGAAUGGAAUUGAAAACUGAAUGGAAAAAUGAAUACAAAUGAAAUAAUAUGAGUCGUGCUGGAGCUAUUACAAUGUGGCAAUACAUUACAUCAAGGGUCUACAGAGACCAUCAAGUCAUAAGGUUGGACAUCUAGAGUAAUAGUAGCCAUAAUUCCACUGUGAAAUAUCUAGUCUAGACAUGCACUGACCCAAUGUAAAUUAGGGACUACGUUUCAGUUGUCUAAGGGGUUUCCUUUAAUUUUAAAAAGUGGAAAAUAGACAACAGACAUGGAUUUUCUUCUCAAGUGGGUUCCUUCAUAAUUAUCCUUUCUUUGAGCAGACUUGCAAAGUACUGGUGCAUGACAAGUCCUUGGAUCUCUUUCCCUAGGAGAAGGCAAAUAAUGAAUCCCUAAAGAAUUUGAAUACCCCAGACAAUACCCUUUCUGAAUCACCAAUAACACCCAUGAGGAACAUCUGGAUAAGAUGUAUGUCCAGAUGUUCCAAACAUAACACAUCUUGUCCAUACCACAUGGACCCAAGAUAAGCCUCAUUCAGAAAUGUUUCUGACUGCCGUGAAAUGAAGACACAUUUUUGAAAUGACACAAUCCUCGUGCACCUGUUGUUCCAAUUGAAUAUUAGUUACUUGGUCUGCAGGUUCUGCUAUCUUUGAAAGUGAUUCAUACUUCAUUUUAUAUUUUUUUAUCCUGAGACAAAAAUUCCUGUAUGCCACAGGCAGGCUUUUAAAAAGAAAAAUCUAACCCAAAGGUUUCAGUGACCCAAAAAUGUUGUGUUUGAAUGAGAUAUUGAUUGCCCAAGACUGGAACCAUCACAGCAAUCCUAAUUUCCUUUGUACUUGAAUGGACACACCAUCUAAGGCUUGCAUACACAAUAUUUAGACUUGCAUGUGUAGUCUUUAAAGGAAAUAUCUAAUUUUGCAAAACCAAAACAGCAAGAUAUUAUUGUAAAUGGAAGAUAUUACACAUGGGAUGUCAUUAUUUAACAGCAAAUAUCAAUUGUAGUGUAACUCUCCUUGCCCCUGUAAUUUUAAUAGGGGGUAAAGAGACCCAAGGGUGUAACAUUUCAUCAUGUUCUGGGUCACUCAAAGGAGAAAUGCUGAACCCUUCCAGGAGGGCAUUAUGCUGAUGACUCAGCUCCAGAGGUGAAAUGUGUCAGUCUAUUUGCUCUUCGUUUACCCCAUCAGCUUGGUGACCCCGCAUUUACCUAUUAGUACAGACAAAAAUGGAAGAGGAGAAAAAAAUGGAGAAAAGAAAAAUUAAAUCAGCAAUAAUGUUUUGUAUAUACCAUUUUGUUAAAAUGUGAAAACAGCCUGUGAGGCCAAGUAGAGUACAAAAUAAAAAAAUUACUUCAGAGAGCAAAUUAUUGUACUGUGUUGCAGAAUAUAUUGCAGCUUUCGAAGUAAUAAUAUAUACCAUUCAAAGCAUAUUUUCUGUCCUAGCAGCUGAGUAGACCCUAACCCAUUUGAUAUUUGCCCAUUGAGUGCCAGUCAAGCAGUAGAAGAAAGGGAAUAUCAUGGUUGGUCUAUUUUCCCAUUGAGUGCCAUUCACAUACUUGUUGAAAUGGAAUAAGUAUGGACUCUACAAUCGAUAUAGGUAAAAUUCUGACCAACCCAGAGAGCCACAAUGUUCUCGGUAUAAUACUUUCAAGAACACGUGUGUACUGUUUUCCUGGCUCACUGGGGAAAAAAUAAUCAGAUAAUAUUCAGAGCUCCCGCAAUAGCACAGACUUGUUUUCUGGAAAUAAGAUCCCGAUCAUCAUCAGCCAUAAGGCUGGUCAGCAAUAUCCAAUUGCCCAUUGCAUUUCUAGAUGCUCAGUCGUACUUGAAGAGUUAACGAAUCUCGGUCUGUGCCAUUAAAUCUGAAAAAUAAAAUAAAUGCAUUCCAUUUACUAUAUUUAAUG